UGUCAAACACCAAAUCAAAGUCUUUCUUUCGAAAUUAGUUCAUCUUUUUUUAUUUUCAAGCUCUCCAAACACAAAAUCUCUCUUUAAUUUUGAAGAAUACUCAAAGCUCGAAUUAACUCCAUAACUCGUCGAUUUUACAAAAUUGAGUUCUGGACUCAUUGGGAGGUUCUACAAGCAAGGAUAAAGGCAAACAAAGGCUUAUUUGAAUUUUUGCCAUUAAAGUCAAGGUUGCAGGGUCAGUGGUUUGAUGUGCUAUAAUUAUGCACAAAUCAAAGUGUUAAAGGGGAGCUUAGGUAGCCUAAUCACCUAUACUAAGUUCCAUGACUAAGUUUUUCUACUUAAACUAAUGAUGAUUUGCAAAUGAUGCUUAAAUGUGAUAUGUUAUGUAAUGUAUAUUGAGAUGACAAUGAAAAUGUUAUGUGUUUAUGACUGAAUAUGAUAUGAGUCUUGUUGAUUUUAUGUACACUAUAUGAGAUCUAUAUGUUGUGGCUAUUUGAGCAUAAUGUGAGUACUUAUAAGCGCAUGGUAUGAGACUAGAAUAUGUGAUAUAAACAUGAGUUGUGUGACAUGUGAAAGCGUGUACAAAAUAGUAAGUAUACAUGUUUAAGUGGAUAUGUUUGGAGGGUAAAUUGGUUGUGUUUGGUGGGUGAUAGCUUUAUGCUACACAUUAUAUUAGUCGUAUUUGGAAAUUUGAUUAUCCAAUGUAAUAUAUUUUUUAUAUAUGCUUUAUGAUCAAAUUGUGCCAACAUAUCAAUGAGAACGCUACGAGUUGUGCUUGAUUGCUUACCAUGAUUAAUUGUGAUGGUAUGAUUUCUUUUAACUUUGGAUAUUGUGACUACUUGUGACAAUCUUUGAGCACUAAUUGAGCUUGUAAAAGCUCACACUCUCUUAUGUUUAACAAUGCAAGGAUAUGACUAAAACGAGGAGGAAAAGUGAGCCACCAAGUGAUCCAUAGCAAGGCAAUUUACCUUGAGUGUGUUUGAUGUCUUCCCAACUUAAUAAGGAAGGCAAUGCGGGACUAAUCUAGAGGGUUUUAAACUUUGAACUAUUAAUGGUUUGCAAUUUGACAUUGUGGACUAUUUAAUUGGUUUGAUUUUGAGUUUUUAUUAUUGCUUCAAAUAGAUGAUUGAAUGGUAGAUUAUAAAUGCUUGAUGAAUGGUAUGAGCAAUUGUUCGACUAACUUGUAAGUGUA